UACGUAGGGUGCAAGCGUUGUCCGGAAUUAUUGGGCGUAAAGAGCUCGUAGGCGGUUUGUCACGUCGGCUGUGAAAACCUGGGGCUCAACCCCGGGCCUGCAGCCGAUACGGGCAGACUAGAGUUCGGCAGGGGAGACUGGAAUUCCUGGUGUAGCGGUGAAAUGCGCAGAUAUGAGGAGGAACAACGGUGGCGAAGGCGGGUCUCUGGGACGAUACUGACGCUGAGGAGCGAAAGCGUGGGGAGCAAACAGG
rnacentral:rRNA from 1 species